rnacentral:rRNA from 1 species
GACGGACGCUGGCGGCGUGCCUAAUACAUGCAAGUAGAACGCUGAAGGAGGAGCUUGCUCUUCUGGAUGAGUUGCGAACGGGUGAGUAACGCGUAGGUAACCUGCCUGGUAGCGGGGGAUAACUAUUGGAAACGAUAGCUAAUACCGCAUAACAGUAGAUGUUGCAUGACAUUUGCUUAAAAGGUGCAAUUGCACCACUACCAGAUGGACCUGCGUUGUAUUAGCUAGUUGGUGGGGUAACGGCUCACCAAGGCGACGAUACAUAGCCGACCUGAGAGGGUGAUCGGCCACACUGGGACUGAGACACGGCCCAGACUCCUACGUGAGGCAGCAGUAGGGAAUCUUCGGCAAUGGACGGAAGUCUGACCGAGCAACGCCGCGUGAGUGAAGAAGGUUUUCGGAUCGUAAAGCUCUGUUGUAAGAGAAGAACGAGUGUGAGAGUGGAAAGUUCACACUGUGACGGUAUCUUACCAGAAAGGGACGGCUAACUACGUG